GUAUGUGUCGCGCAAUUGGUUAGCGCGUUCGGCUGUUAACCGAAGGGUUGGUGGUUCAAGCCCACCCAGGGACG
rnacentral:tRNA from 1 species